CCGGAGAAUGUUAUCACGGGAGACACACGGCGGGUGCUAACGUCCGUCGUGAAGAGGGAAACAACCCAGACCGCCAGCUAAGGUCCCAAAGUCAUGGUUAAGUGGGAAACGAUGUGGGAAGGCCCAGACAGCCAGGAUGUUGGCUUAGAAGCAGCCAUCAUUUAAAGAAAGCGUAAUAGCUCACUGGUCGAGUCGGCCUGCGCGGAAGAUGUAACGGGGCUAAACCAUGCACCGAAGCUGCGGCAGCGAACGUAUCACUUAAAGCGAUUCAGCGGGUUACGAUUGACGGAGCGAAGCGACGUCAAAGCGUAUACAAAGUCGAGUCGGUUUAAGGAUACGUUCGUUGGGUAGGGGAGCGUUCUGUAAGCCUGUGAAGGUGUGCUGUGAGGCAUGCUGGAGGUAUCAGAAGUGCGAAUGCUGACAUAAGUAACGAUAAAGCGGGUGAAAAGCCCGCUCGCCGGAAGACCAAGGGUUCCUGUCCAACGUUAAUCGGGGCAGGGUGAGUCGACCCCUAAGGCGAGGCCGAAAGGCGUAGUCGAUGGGAAACGGGUUAAUAUUCCCGUACUUGGUGUUACUGCGAAGGGGGGACGG
rnacentral:rRNA from 1 species